UGUAAGCGUAUACCAAAGUUGUUGCAGUUAAAACGCUCGUAGUCGGAAUUUGGCAGUUCCGGAUGUGUGCACGUCGUGUGCGCACUUCGCGGGGAUUGCUUUUGUGGUCUUGCGUAGGAUGAGGCACUUUUAUUAGUGAACGUCCUCACGCAACCACUUUUUACUGUGAGAAAAUCAGAGUGCUCAAAGCAGGCAUUUGCCGUGAAUGUAUUAGCAUGGAAUAAUAGAAUAGGACUUGGUUCUAUUUUGUUGGUUUGUUGGGACUGAGUAAUGAUUAAGAGGGACAGUUGGGGGCAUUUGUAUUUCGGUGCUAGAGGUGAAAUUCUUAGAUUACCGAAAGACAAACUGCUGCGAAAGCGUCUGCCAAGGAUGUUUUCAUUGAG
rnacentral:rRNA from 1 species